ensembl:lncRNA
GCUCAAACUGUGAAAUCAUUUUCAUUAAUGAAAUGUUCACCACAGUUUCCCAAGCGUAACUCUACCGAAAGUCUUUUAGGAUGUGCUGGAUUAGACUUUACAGUUCGAUUUUCCCAUUGUCAAUACAAGAUCUUGGUGCAACUCUUGAUAGAAAUAAAUGCUGUGAUGUGCAUAGUGUUGUCGAAACAAUGCCACAACCAAAGCACAAUGUUAUCAAAGCUAAAGGCGGCAGUCCAAUGAAAUAUUAGUGUGUGCAACCUUUUAGGACAGGCAGUGUAAAGUGGACUCCAGCACAUCCCAAGACUUUCAAUGGGGUUAAAUUCAUGACUCUGUUGCACCCUCUAUCGCACAGAAUAAGCGAUGCAGGUAAACAUUUCCAUGAGUCGCACUGGUACGGCUCACAGGGAUUUCCCGCUUACAUCUCUGUUAGAGAGGUGAGCUUCAAACUCGGCUCCGUCUGAACAUCACCGAACACGAGCUCCCCGACCCCCAUCUCACAGAGCUAUCGCCUUCCAAAGAGCCAACUUUAACUGGCUACAACUCCAGACAGAGCUGAGUGCCUUUAGACAGGUUGGAGACUCCUGUGGUGCCGUGGACCUGAUGAGUCUGAAAUAAAACAUUCCCUGGAAGAAACAUCACCACUAGUCCAAAGCUCCGUCCAUCCGUGGUAAAGACCAAAUUGUUUUCUUCACUGAGAUGAUCACCUUUGAUGAAUUGAGGACCAGCCAAACAUCAGAAUUCUUGGACCAACAUUCAAACAAAUGGAAAAAACAACAAAAAAACAGCUGCAAUAAAUAAGAAAAUUUGUU